CGCGUAGGCGGACUUUUAAGUCGGAGGUGAAAGCCCAGGGCUCAACCCUGGAAUUGCCUUCGAUACUGGGAGUCUUGAGUUCGGAAGAGGUUGGCGGAACUGCGAGUGUAGAGGUGAAAUUCGUAGAUAUUCGCAAGAACACCGGUGGCGAAGGCGGCCAACUGGUCCGAAACUGACGCUGAGGCGCGAAAGCGUGGGGAGCAAACA
rnacentral:rRNA from 1 species